rnacentral:lncRNA from 1 species
ACUGAUGUUUCCUGCUUGAGGUGGGGGAGGGGCGUCUUCUCUUCCCGCGUCCCGAGUUUCCCGUGGUUCUCUCGAACCCAUCGCUCGGCGGCUUUACGCCACAGGGUGAAUUGCGACCUCACCCUGCUCACCCUGGCUGGACGCUAGCUUCGCCCAGGCCCCCUCCAGAAGCAUGAGUCGGACCUUGUUUCAACAAGCAGAGUAUGUCUGAGUCAGACAUUUUGAGGUACAGAUUCAGCCAGAGUGCAGAUCUUAUGAUUGAUGCGAUGACUUCAUUGGG